UGGUAUUAAGAGAAACAGUUUAAUGUUUA
rnacentral:piRNA from 1 species